GACUACACGGGUAUCUAAGCCCAUUCGCUACCCUGGCUUUCGUUCCUCAGUGUCAGUUAUGGCCCAGCUAGUCGCCUACGCCACCGGUGUUCUUCCCAAUAUCUACGCAUUUCACCGCUACACUGGGAAUUCCACUAGCCUCUACCACACUCAAGCCUGCCAGUAUUCAAUGCAGUCCCAGGGUUGAGCCCCGAUCUUUAACAUCAAACUUGACAAGCCACCUACGAACUCUUUACGCCCAAUAAAUCCGGACAACGCUCGCAUCCUACGUCUUACCGCGGCUGCUGGCACGUAGUUAGCCGAUGCUUCCUUUGCUGGUACCGUCAUUUUUUUCGUUCCAGCCGACAGAGCUUUACACCCCAAAGGGCUUCUUCGCUCACGCGGUGUCGCUACGUCAGGCUUUCGCCCAUUGCGCAAAAUUCCCCACUGCAGCCUCCCGUAGG
rnacentral:rRNA from 1 species